rnacentral:rRNA from 1 species
GCGGCAGGCCUAACACAUGCAAGUCGAGCGGAUGACGGGAGCUUGCUCCUUGAUUCAGCGGCGGACGGGUGAGUAAUGCCUAGGAAUCUGCCUGGUAGUGGGGGACAACGUUUCGAAAGGAACGCUAAUACCGCAUACGUCCUACGGGAGAAAGCAGGGGACCUUCGGGCCUUGCGCUAUCAGAUGAGCCUAGGUCGGAUUAGCUAGUUGGUGGGGUAAUGGCUCACCAAGGCGACGAUCCGUAACUGGUCUGAGAGGAUGAUCAGUCACACUGGAACUGAGACACGGUCCAGACUCCUACGGGAGGCAGCAGUGGGGAAUAUUGGACAAUGGGCGAAAGCCUGAUCCAGCCAUGCCGCGUGUGUGAAGAAGGUCUUCGGAUUGUAAAGCACUUUAAGUUGGGAGGAAGGGCAGUAAGCUAAUACCUUGCUGUUUUGACGUUACCGACAGAAUAAGCACCGGCUAACUCUGUGCCAGCAGCCGCGGUAAUACAGAGGGUGCAAGCGUUAAUCGGAAUUACUGGGCGUAAAGCGCGCGUAGGUGGUUUGUUAAGUUUGGAUGU